rnacentral:rRNA from 1 species
AUGGGGCGCAAAAGUGACCUGGCUGACCAGCUGCAGGAGGAUGGCACGAGUGCUGUUGCUGAUGAAUAUGAAGAAUGCAGUGAAGAAGAAGAACCAUUUGAACGUGAAUUCUACGAUGAUGACGAUGAUGACGACGACAAUGUGGGUGAGCCAGAAACAAAAGCUGCGGAUCCUUGUGAAGAUCCUUUGGCAGAAGAAGAGGAGGCUAAUGGAGAGGAACCUUGCGAUGGUGCCACCCCACUUGAAGAUGAGGAUGCCAGUUACGAUGAACCUUUUGUUGAUGAACUCUGUUAUGAAGAAGACAGUGGCGAGCAGGACUCGUAUUAUGCGGAGCCUUUCACGGAUCAGCUCUGUGAAGUGGAGCCAUGUGAUGUUGAGGUGGCUCGCGAGGAGGAAUUUGGGAGGAAGUACUGUCCUGUUCAGGCUAUCAAGAAGGAACAAAAUGAGGAAGAGGUCCUAAAACGGACACUGAGAAAGGGCAGCAGCCAUGAGCACAAGGCGGUACCAGUGACUGAUGAAAUCGAAUUGAAGCCGUUCAAGAAACGAUUGUCUGUCAGGUUUGCUACUGAUGUAUCUUGUUACACAUACAGUACUGAAAGUUUUGGUGCUGCCAAGUUGGAGAAAAGGAAAGCUCUGUUUGAUGACCAGGACAGCCACUUGUGUAAGAGGCAAGAACACACAGUUUCUUUGUCUCAGGACAGUGUCACGCUGAAAGAAGUGGAUGACACUAACCUGUAUGUGGGUAACCUGCCAACUUCUGUGACUUCUCACAAGCUCAUCGAGCUAUUUCUACCUUUUGGACGAAUCGUUCGAUCAAAAGUGGCGGAUGAUCGUUUCACUGGUUUAAGCCAGGGAUAUGGCUUUGUGAAGUAUGCUGAACCUCGUAGUGCCACAGCAGCUAUUGAACGCAUGAAUGGGCGCCUGGUUGAUGGGAAAACAUUAGAGGUUAGGGUAGCUGGACCUCCAACAUCAGUAUUCUAUCCAUCCAUGCAAGCUGUGUCAGAAGCUUGCAGUCUGCCAUCAAAGGAAGUUGACCCGUGUAGGCUGUAUGUAUGCAACCUCCCCUUAUCCAUGGACACUCUGAAGCUACUCGAGCAUUUUCUGCCUUUCGGGAAAGUAACUGAUAUAAAGGUACCCAGGGAUCAAGCCACAGGUUUAAGCAAAGGAUAUGGCUUUGUGAAGUACUCUGAUUCUCAUCAUGCAGCUCAGGCCAUCACCAAUUUGAAUGGGUUUCUGGUUGAGGGUAAAAAGAUAGAUGUUCGAGUGGCUGAGGUCUCUUCAACCAGAACCAUCAAGGAAAUCGACAUGGCGAAUCUAUAUGUCUGCAACAUUCCUGCAUCCAUUGACACAGAUAAGCUGGUUGCGCUUUUCUCGCCAUUUGGUAAGAUUACCCAUGCGAGAGUGGCUGCGGACCAAGGCUAUGGCUUUGUCAAAUUUGCCGAUUCUCAAUGUGCUGCCGAGGCUAUUGCACUAAUGAAUGGAUCACUGGUUGAAGGGGAAACUCUAAUUGUCAGAGUCGCAGGCCUUUCACCACUUGCAUCCAGCUCAGUUGUACAAGGCUCACCAAUUCCCUCGCUAGAAAUGAAGAAAUCUAGACUGUACGUCACUAACCUUCCGCGGUCGAUGAACGCUGAUAAGCUGGUUGAGCUUUUUAUGCCCUUUGGUAAGAUCAGCAAGGUUGUGAUCAAUCUGGAGUAUAGCCUAGUGUACUAUGCAGAUUCAGCAUCAGUGACCACGGCUGUUGAACACAUGGAUGGGUACCUGAUUGGUGGAAAGAGUCUAGUAGUCAGGCGAUCAGACUCUUGUCCAACCGCUGCAGCAGGGCAUGCUCCUUUAUCAUCACAGUCAGCUGGUGGCAAGCCCACAAGAGAAAUUGACAUGGCCAACUUGUAUGUUGGUGGCAUCCCACCAACAGUAACCGACAAUCAGUUGGUCGAGCUUUUCCGGCCAUUUGGACAAAUUGUGCAAUCUAGGAUGUUUCUUGGGUAUGGCAUGGUGAGGUACAGCGAUCCUUCAUCUGCUGCUGCUGCAAUCGAUCGAAUGGACGGUUACCAAAUCGGAGCAAGUACCCUGGCUGUGAGAGUAGCAGGCCUUCCUAAUAUAAUGCCUCGGGCGGAUUGUCUAACAGCACCGCAGGCGCCUCCUGGCAAUGAGCAGAAAGAGGUAGACUUGACCAACCUAUAUGUAGGCCAUCUCCCGCUCUAUAUCACCACAGAAAGGCUGACCGAGAUCUUUCUGCCAUGCGGCCAAAUCACUCAAGCAAAGGUAGUCGUUGACCGGUACACCGGAGUGAGCAAGGGAUUCGGAUUCGUCAAAUUCGCCGAUACUUAUGCUGCUGCUGCGGCUCUGAGUUACAUGAACGGUUACCUGCUGGAGGGGCACAUCUUGGCCGUCAGAAUAGCCAAUGUUCAUCCGAGUGAUAUGGGCAGCUACAUGGCGCGUCUCUACUCCCAGUUCAAAGUCCCUGACCCCUCUACCAUGGCGGUUGGAGUGCCAACAUCGUCGUAUUGGCCACCGUGCUAUUCUGCUGAAUCAGCUUACGCAGAGAAUUAUCGGGGGCAGGGAACUGAUGCUGCUGCUUCUCAAACGUCUCAGCUGCCUGAAUCUGUGUCAGCCAGUUCAUCAUUUGCUGCUGAAAGGGAUUGGUCUCCUGUGUCAAGCCAUGUCGCCGACAGCUCUCAGCAGCAGCCUUCAGCAGGCUGGGCCGGUCCGCCUGGCUUCGAGCCCCUCCAUGCGCAUGCGGCAGUCUCUCCUCCUCCGCCAGUGGUACCUUGGGCUGGCCCGCCAGGCUUUGAGCCCCAUUCCAUCCCCAAGAAGAAAGAUGGCGCCACCGCGACAAAACCUUCCCAGCCUUGCUCCAAGGUCCAUCUGGCAGAGUCAGGAGGCAGCCAGAAAAGGCGUUCCAUCGUCUAG